UGAGCGGCGGACGGGUGAGUAACACGUAAGGAACCUGCCUCAAGGAUUGGGAUAACUCCGAGAAAUCGGAGCUAAUACCGGAUAGUUCAACGGACCGCAUGGUCCGCUGAUGAAAGGCGCUUCGGCGUCACCUUGAGAUGGCCUUGCGGUGCAUUAGCUAGUUGGUGAGGUAACGGCCCACCAAGGCGACGAUGCAUAGCCGACCUGAGAGGGUGAUCGGCCACACUGGGACUGAGACACGGCCCAGACUCCUACGGGAGGCAGCAGUAGGGAAUCUUCCACAAUGGACGAAAGUCUGAUGGAGCAACGCCGCGUGAGUGAUGAAGGUUUUCGGAUCGUAAAACUCUGUUGUAAGGGAAGAACACGUACGAGAGGUAAUGCUCGUACCUUGACGGUACCUUACGAGAAAGCCACGGCUAACUACGUGCCAGCAGCCGCGGUAAUACGUAGGUGGCAAGCGUUGUCCGGAAUUAUUGGGCGUAAAGCGCGCGCAGGCG
rnacentral:rRNA from 1 species